rnacentral:hammerhead_ribozyme from 1 species
AUUCAACUGACGAGUCCGAAAUAAGACGAAACACAUGUCAAACUGGAU